UCUUUAGUUCAGUGGCAGAGCGCUGAUCUUGUAAACCAGAAGACGUGUGUUCAAUCCUCACAGAAAGAA